rnacentral:tRNA from 1 species
GGGCUUGUAGCUCAAUUGGUUAGAGCAGCACACUCAUAAUGUGAAGGUUUAGAGUUCAAUCCUCUACUAGCCCA